rnacentral:lncRNA from 1 species
GUUGAGAGCAUGAGCUUGAAGGGUUGUUCUUGUAUUUUCAUGGUGGUUCCUUGGUUUGAAUGAAGGCUUAUUUUCCGUUUUGCUUCUCCUUUGCUGCAAUAUUUUUGGUUUCUUUUUAGUUUUCUUGGUUGGAUGAUGAAAAUGAAGUUCUUGUUGAGUUUUGUAGUGAAGAAAGCUUGAGUUAGUGUAUGGGUGUUUGAGGUUUGAACCAUUUUCUUCUUG